ensembl:lncRNA
GGGAACCUAAAGGAAAGAGGACACCGGAGAAGGGCGAGGGCCGAUAAGAGGGAGGUCCGGAUGUGUGGCCUACACGAGUUGGACCCACAGGGGUCAACUGAACCUCUAUCGGGAAGUGACGCAGGGGACACAGGAAGGAGGCAGGGGAGGCGAGUAUGGACAACUUGUUCCCGAUGGACCAUGAGGCAACGCCAGAGCCUGCCUCAUUACCGGGACGGUUCGGAACAGCCCAACUGGAGGAUCCCAACCUGACGAGUGCUCUCCAGCAGGUGACCGUGGUGGACGGGAAGGCCAUCGAGGGGGUCCGGGGCAGCCCAUGGGAAUGCGGAUGCCCUGUCCAGGAGGGAUGCUCUGGGGAGCUGGACCGCCCCUCCCUCCCGGUCGGAGCUGAGGGGGAGGGUGUGUGGCAGACGCCAGGGAGGGGUGGUGAUUGAGGGGAGGUAUGUGGCAGCAUGCUGGCUCCACCCCCAAGCUUUACAAGGACUGCCUCCCUUAACGAUGCAAGCCUGAGGUGCAUUAGGCAGGAGUGCUUGGGGAUAAAAGGGAGCAUGCAACCACAUGGAGGGAGCCUACUAUGGAGUGCCUCUGCGUGAGCCUCUGCGAACUGUGUGUGGCCAAAGAGAGCAGGAAACCUGAACAUUUACGGAUUAUUUGUGUACCGACCGCUUUGUUUGAGAACCCUCCCGGCGACGACCCCUGGACUACGGACUACAGAUUACGGACUCUGGAUUACCCUUUUCCCCACCCUGGUGACACUUAUUCGUCUAUUCUGAAUGAACCACCUUAUUGAACUGCUCUCGGUGUGUGUGUAUCAUUUGACUUGGUGGCGUGGAAACCCCACACCCACUGGCCCGCUACACUCCGUUAAGUUUGCCUCGCAAAUGAAUAGUGCAGAGGUAAUUUUUCUAGUUAGUGUGGAUAAGGUUCAUAGUGUUGUGGAAACUGGAGUAGUGAUUCUUUAUCACCCUUCUUGCAAGCCCAGCAAGAAGGGUGAUAAAUUUGAACGUUCCUCCAUACAUAAGCAACGAGGCGUUGGGGAGAGAACUGGGCCGGUAUGGACACCUGAAAAAUUGGAAGGACUUGGGGGGGGAAAAUCCCCCCGGGUAGAGCAUGUUUUUACCUACAGAAGAUAUGUUUUCAUGGUCUUAAAAAAUAAUGAAGUCGAUCUCAAUCUAGUCUUGAAAUUCAAGGUGAAAAUUUUUGAUCACACAGUCUUGGCCACUUCGGACAAUUUGAUGCGUUUAAAGUGCGGACAGGAGGGGCAUUUUGCCCGUUUUUUUUUUCUCUUCUUCCGAUGAGUCUGAUACAGAAUUGAUGAAUUAUUCUCAACCCCAAGAACAAGAAGAUAGCCCUACUGAUUAUUCUUUUGAAAGAAGUACUUCCCUGUUCUGAAUGCUUGUAUUGAGUCCGUAAAACAUAUUGGCUUGAAAACAGGGGCGGGGUGGCCGUCGGGAUGAUCGGGAGAUUUCCCGGUCGGCUGGCCAGCCAGCGAGGUCAGGUGGACCGGCCCGCAAUUGUUGUGAGCGGCCUGCGAAGUCAGUUGGACCGGCCCACAAUUAUUGUGAGCGUCCACGAGGCGUCUGCAAGCCGGUCCCGAGCAUAAUCUAUUCCCCUACAAGACGCUGUGAAAAUCCCCAAAAUAAACAAUAUAAAUCUCGGGAACAUCCAACCAAUAUUUAUACCACUUGCUUUUGCUAUGUCUCAUUCAUGGUCUUUUUUUAUAUAAUUUUUUUUUACUUCAUUUAAUUCUUCAUUAUUCAGCCGUUACAGAACUAUCAUGGCCAUAAAUAAAAAAUACGAACUACAGUUUAAUUUGAUUUAUUUGUUCUUGAUUUGACGU